rnacentral:rRNA from 1 species
UGACUAUACAAAGGUAUUGUAAUAAGAUUUUAAUUGAAUGCUAAAAGAAUGGAAAUUUAAAAAAAAACUUUUUUAAAAAUAAAAAUUGAAUUUUUUUUAAUUUGUGCAAAAACAAUUAUUAUUAUUAAAGACAAGAAGACCCUAAGAAUUUAUGAUUUUGUAAUUAAAAGUUUUUUUUUAAAAAAUCUUGAUUGGGGCGAUCAAAAAAUAUUAAUAACUUUUUAAAUUUAAAUUGAUCUAUUAUUAAUAAACUAAUGAAUUAAAUACUCUAGGGAUAACAGCGUAAUAAUUUUUGAUAGAUCUUAUUGACAAAAUAGUUUGCGACCUCGAUGUUGGAUUAGGAUUCUUUUUUAAUGAAGAAGUUAAAAAAAGAAGUUUGUUCAACUUUUAAAUUCCUACUUGAUCUGA